UACGAAGGGGGCUAGCGUUGCUCGGAAUUACUGGGCGUAAAGGGAGCGUAGGCGGACAGUUUAGUCAGAGGUGAAAGCCCAGGGCUCAACCUUGGAAUUGCCUUUGAUACUGGCUGUCUUGAGUACGGGAGAGGUGUGUGGAACUCCGAGUGUAGAGGUGAAAUUCGUAGAUAUUCGGAAGAACACCAGCGGCGAAGGCGGCGCUCUGGGCCGGAACUGACGCUGAGGAGCGAAAGCGUGGGUAGCAAACAGG
rnacentral:rRNA from 1 species